rnacentral:lncRNA from 1 species
ACACCAACUCGAAAAAGUGGUAGAUAAGCUUUUGAGAUAACCAAACCAAUCUAGGUCAGGUCCCUACACGAAAUAGAAAUUAUGCCCGAUGUCUAUGCAAAACCCACGCCUCAUCUUUAGCGAUAGGUUUGGCACGUCAUAUGCAUGUUUAAAGCAGGAUCACGGUCACUAUGCACUUAGCAUGACCGCACGGUCACUAUGCACUUAGCAUGACCGCACGGUCACUAUGCACUUAACAUGACCGCAAUCCCAUUUGACAUAUUCACCUUAUAUACCGGCAUGUAAUUCCACCCCUUAGGAAGAGACAAUAUCCUACUGUGUGAUUCUUUGAAAUAACGGGCAUACCCUGCCUCAUUUUCAUACCCACACGCACCGUGUGAUUUAUGAGCAAAGUAUGACAUGUUUCCCUUAUUGUUUGCACAUAUCGGAUUGGGACUCGAUCUCGAUACCCCAACGGGCAAGGUAAGUCCAACCCAUGAGAGGCCUAGACGCGACUAACGACGAAGCCGAACACGGCUGCCAAAUCUGAAACCGUCAUUCGAGCACGAGGCGAAGCGAGUGACCCUACAGCGCCGCACCCCCUCUCACCGUUUACCAGGCCAAGGUAACAAGCAAUUUCGUUUGGGUUUAGCUUAUCAUGCUCCCUUUUUGGUUCAGAACAAGAACACGAGCGUUCUUAAAGGUACGCGAACAAGGAACGAACGCCACCAAAACACACCAGGAGAAGGUUCCGUACCAUACCAUCUCGCAAGCAAUGACCGAGCAAAGCCCUCUAAGCCGUACCGCACUACAAAUAAUAGAAACGGCUCAGCACAGGUCGACUACUAAGAAACAAUCUCCAGAACAAGAGACUGAGCAAUGGGCCCAUGAAACGCACAGUAUUCCCCAAUGAAAGCAAAGCUAAGCAGACUGGGACUCACCCAUGAAACGCAUAGUAUUCCCCAAUGAAAGCAAACUGAGCAGACUGGGACUCACCCAGGAAACGCACAGUACUCUCUAAUGAAAGCAAAAUUAAGCAAACCGGGACUCACCCCGACGCACGCAUAAACAAUAC